UGCAGUCGAGCGAGAUCUUCGGAUCUAGCGGCGGACGGGUUAGUAACGCGUGGGAACGUACCCAAAGGUAGGGAAUAGCCACUGGAAACGGUGAGUAAUACCCUAUGUGCCCUUCGGGGGAAAGAUUUAUCGCCUUUGGAUCGGCCCGCGUUAGAUUAGAUAGUUGGUGGGGUAACGGCCUACCAAGUCUACGAUCUAUAGCUGGUUUUAGAGGAUGAUCAGCAACACUGGGACUGAGACACGGCCCAGACUCCUACGGGAGGCAGCAGUGGGGAAUCUUAGACAAUGGGCGAAAGCCUGAUCUAGCCAUGCCGCGUGUGUGAUGAAGGCCCUAGGGUCGUAAAGCACUUUCGCCAGAGAUGAUAAUGACAGUAUCUGGUAAAGAAACCCCGGCUAACUCCGUGCCAGCAGCCGCGGUAAUACGGAGGGGGUUAGCGUUGUUCGGAAUUACUGGGCGUAAAGCGUACGUAGGCGGAUUAGUAAGUUAGGGGUGAAAUCCCGAGGCUCAACCUCGGAACUGCCUCUAAAACUGCUAGUCUUGAGUUCGAGAGAGGUGAGUGGAAUUCCGAGUGUAGAGGUGAAAUUCGUAGAUAUUCGGAGGAACACCAGUGGCGAAGGCGGCUCACUG
rnacentral:rRNA from 1 species